rnacentral:rRNA from 1 species
GAUCCUGGCUCAGAUUGAACGCUGGCGGCAGGCCUAACACAUGCAAGUCGAACGGUAACAGGAAACAGCUUGCUGUUUCGCUGACGAGUGGCGGACGGGUGAGUAAUGUCUGGGAAACUGCCUGAUGGGGGGGGAUAACUACUGGAAACGGUAGCUAAUACCGCAUAACGUCGCAAGACCAAAGAGGGGGACCUUCGGGCCUCUUGCCAUCGGAUGUGCCCAGAUGGGAUUAGCUAGUAGGUGGGUAACGG